rnacentral:rRNA from 1 species
UCCGUAGGUGAACCUGCGGAGGGAUCAUUACACAACAAAAAUAUGAGGGUGUGGUUUGCUGGCAACAGCGUCCGCCCCAAGUAUUUUUCACCCAUGUCUUUUGCGCACUUUUUGUUUCCUGGGCGAGUUCGCUCGCCACCAGGACCCAACCAUAAACCUUUUUUUAUGCAGUUGCAAUCAGCGUCAGUAUAAUAAUUCAAUUUAUUAAAACUUUCAACAACGGAUCUCUUGGUUCUGGCAUCGAUGAAGAACGCAGCGAAAUGCGAUACGUAGUGUGAAUUGCAGAAUUCAGUGAAUCAUCGAAUCUUUGAACGCACAUUGCGCCCUUUGGUAUUCCAAAGGGCAUGCCUGUUCGAGCGUCAUUUGUACCCUCAAGCUUUGCUUGGUGUUGGGCGUCUUUUUGUCUCUCCCCUUGUUGGGGGAGACUCGCCUUAAAACGAUUGGCAGCCGACCUACUGGUUUUCGGAGCGCAGCACAAAUUUGCGCCUUCCAAUCCACGGGGCGGCAUCCAGCAAGCCUUUGUUUUCUAUAACAAAUCCACAUUUUGACCUCGGAUCAGGUAGGGAUACCCGCUGAACUUAAGCAUAUCAAUAAGCGGAGGA